rnacentral:rRNA from 1 species
UACAGAGGGGGCAAGCGUUAUUCGGAAUUAUUGGGCGUAAAGGGCGCGUAGGCGGCCUGACAAGUGGAAGGUGAAAUCCCUCGGCUUAACCGAGGAACUGCCCUCCAAACUGUCUGGCUUGAGACCGGGAGAGGUGAGUGGAAUUCCCAGUGUAGCGGUGAAAUGCGUAGAUAUUGGGAGGAACACCAGUGGCGAAGGCGGCUCACUGGACUGGUAUUGACGCUGAGGUGCGAAAGCGUGGGGAGCAAACAGG